UGACGAUGCGGAGGAUGAGCGAGGUGUGACGACGUCUCCUGCCGACCGGCGAUCCCGGUCCCCACCUGGCAUGGAAACAGAUCGUCAGGCAAGUUCAAGAACCUGGGGGCCACUGUGCACGUUCUGUUGCAUACAUAGCCAGUUGUCUGUCCUAAGGGCGAUUUGAACAAUAAAUUUCAAUCAACACCAGAUUUCUCUUACACGAUAACGUACUAACUAUGAAAUGAUAUUCGUGAAUUUGCAAGUUACAUGUCGUAGCUCGUAGAAUUACAGAGAAACAGUUUCUACAAUUUUUUGAGCUAUAUUCGUUAAUCGAUUGGUACUACGUUCCUAUUGUUAGAAUAUACAUACAAGCAUGCUUAUAUUACGAAGGCAUCGAUAGAAAGGCGAAGAUUAAAUACACGGUAAAAGAGGUCUUAAUUAAUCUACGUAAUUCUAUUCAAGAACAAAGUUCGGUUGGUAAGAAGAAAAACGAAACCACUGGUAGCCGGUUUGCUCCCGAACGUAUACACACUCUUUCGUGCGUGAAAUAUACCGAACGUGCGUGUUUCUGUCGGUGCGCACGCGAGCACCUACCCACAUACACAAACGCGCGCGCGCGCGCGCGCGUGCAUACACGCACAUAUACGGGACCGAUUUGUAAAGGGCAACGGCCUCGUAUGGCCCCACCGAGUUCAUUUCCCCGUUUCUCUGUCUCAGCCGCCGCUUAUUACCGUAACCUUGCCCUUGCUCUUACAUUUCCGCCAUGCUCGAACUUCGAGGAUUGUCUUCCUGGUUCGCCUUGAAUGGCGCCUACCGACGAAAGCUUAUAGAAGAUCGGAAUCACUUGAACGCGACUCAAAUUCAAACGUUCCAACUUGAGACUACAGAUAAGAGUCAAUAGUU